rnacentral:rRNA from 1 species
UACGAAGGGGCUAGCGUUGUUCGGAUUUACUGGGCGUAAAGCGCACGUAGGCGGAUCGUUAAGUCGGGGUGAAAUCCUGGAGCUCAACUCCAGAACUGCCUUCGAUACUGGCGAUCUUGAGUCCGGAAGAGGUGAGUGGAACUCCUAGUGUAGAGGUGGAAUUCGUAGAUAUUAGGAAGAACACCAGUGGCGAAGGCGGCUCACUGGUCCGGUACUGACGCUGAGGUGCGAAAGCGUGGGAGCAAACAGG